UCAGACGAUGCGUCAUGCAUAUCAAUAAGCGGAGGAAAAGAAACUAACAAGGAUUCCCCUAGUAACGGCGAGUGAAGCGGGAAGAGCUCAAAUUUGAAAUCUUAAAGGGUUUCCCUUUACGAAUUGUAGUUUAAAGAAGUGUUUUCUGUUGAGGUUUUGGUAAAAGUUCUUUGGAAUAUAGGACAUCAUAGAGGGUGAGAAUCCCGUAUUUGACCUUUACUUUCAACUUUGUGAUACACUUUCAAAGAGUCAGAUUGUUUGGGAAUGCAGUCCAAAAUGGGUGGUAAAUUUCAUCUAAAGCUAAAUAUUGGCGAGAGACCGAUAGCGAACAAGUACCGUGAGGGAAAGAUGAAAAGAACUUUGAAAAGAAGAGUUAAACAGUACGUGAAAUUGUCAAAAGGGAAGCGUUUGACACCAGUGUUGUUUUUCUGAAAAUCAAUUAAAGAACUGUUUAUGCUAAGCUGUUUAGACUUUAUCAGCUAUCUGUUUAGUUUUGAGCUUUUCUUUAAUGCACUUUUCAGUUAACAAGUCAACAUCAAUUUCUUUUGCUGUAAAAAAGCUUGAGGAAGGUGGCUUGAGAUUCGUCUUAAGUGUUUAUAGCCUCUUGCCUAUGCAGUCGGAGAGAUUGAGGUCUGCAGCGUAGAUCCUUCGGGGCUAAAUGCAUUUGUGCUAAGUUAUAGCAUUUUAUAGACAACUUGUUGACUAUGAUUUGUCUUGUAGCUUACUCGCUUAUGUUAUUUUACCUACGCUUAGGAUGUUGACACACGCGCGUGCUCGC
rnacentral:rRNA from 1 species